GGCCUGGAUGAGACCCAUCCUGGCAAGAUCUGGGCUGGACCACGUCAGGCCCAAAGAAGGAAGAUGGAGGCUGGAGGAGGGGACAGGGCCUGUGUCGGUCAGAGGAGGAUCGAGACAGACCACUUCUGCCUCCCACCUGGCAGGCCCAGGAGGGCCAGAGGUUCUGGGGGGCGGGGGGCGGGGUGGUCUGGGCUGCAGGUGUGUUGUGGCCUGGCUCCCACCCCAGAAGUAAAUCGCUUCAUUUCCCUGUUUCCUCCCAUCCACCGAGCCACAAAGAAGUGUAGGUCCCUUGAUUCAUCCGGAAGAGGAAUUCUUCCAGAAGGAGAAUAUUCAUCUAGGAUGGGGCAGAAUUGGGAGAUAAGAGGUAAGAGACCUUUUCCUCAAAAAACUGGAGACCCAGCAGAAGGCACAGCUCCCUUCCUCCGGGGUCUUGGGUAAGUCAUUUCACCUCUCCGGGCCUCAGUUCGCUCAUCUAUGAAAUGAGGGCGUGUGUUUAGCUUCCUUCUGAGGCUCCUCCAACUCUGUCAUUGACGGGGCCUCCGGGCAGCACCCUGUCCCCGUCAUCUGUAGGGAAACAGAGGCUCCAGGGGAGGGAGCCCACCGGGCCUUGUGCAUCUGGCCAGGCUUUUCUGGCUGGAACUUUCUCUCCAGGUGCUGCGGGCUUUGUCAGCAGCCUGGGAGACGGGGGACAUGGAGGAUCACAGCGGCAGAUCUUAAAUCAAAGCCCGGGCCAUCCAUCUUCCAGAACAGACGGAAAUAACUAGGUGGGUGGCACAGACCGCCACUGCAUGGACAGCGAGAGAUUAGAAAGCUGGAAUCUUGAGCCCCUAAGUCCCUUCACCAAUUUCCCCAAACCCCAGGGACCUGCCUGCUGAAGGGAGAACUCAUUUUAGACUUAGCCCAGGAGGGUCCGUGGGCUCGAUUGCAGGAAAUUCCUCUGUCUGGGGGCUUCUGAAGGCCCUUCCCCCACCACUGUUCUCUUAGCCCCCUUGCCCAUAGUUUCUCCUUGCAGGCACCCUCACGAGAGUCAGGCUGGCAGUGGUGGGGUAGCCGAGUGGUUAGUGGGUGUGCCAGACCGAUGGCUCAAAUCCUGGCUCCACUGCUCACCAGCUCUGCAAAGCUGGGCAAGCUGCAAAGAGACGGUUUGGCUCUCAGUUUCCUCAUCUAUAAAGCAGGAAGGAGGGGUUCCCGUCGUGGCUCAGUGGAAAC
rnacentral:lncRNA from 1 species